rfam:Salmo salar isolate Sally breed double haploid chromosome ssa12, whole genome shotgun sequence.
UGGCUCAGUUGGUAGAGCAUGGUGUUUGCAACGCCAGGGUUGUGGGUACGAUUUCCAC